rnacentral:lncRNA from 1 species
CGUUGAAUGCGCAACACACCAUAGAUAUCAUGCAAAUAGCUCGCGUUCAAAAUGGCUCUGCACGACUUGAAAUAAUAUUGACCUGAAAUAUCUGCAUGUCAUCUUCUUAAUCCAACCCAAUGUAAAUCUAUAAGAUAAUUAAGAGCCAUGAACUGAAACCCAUGAUAAUAAUUACAAUAUAUAUAUACAUAUAUAUGUAUGUGCGCGAGCUGAUAAUUAACGUAAAACUAGUAAAAAAAAAAUAUAUUAUGUGUAGCAGGUUUUCUUUAUUUUGAUGAUAAUUAACUUUAAAAUUAUAUUAACAAAUGUUUGACACCUAAUAAAAAAUAUCUGCUAGAAAAGAAAUUUAGCUGAGGUGAGGAUUCAUUAGAAUUGGUGCACGUCACUUCGAGUUCGAUUGAAUACGCAACCGACUAUUUUCAAUAUAUUAACCAAAUAGAAAUUGGAAUCGGGAAAAAAUGAUCCAUGCGAGUCACAAUCCCAUCACAAUCCUAGAUUGUUUUAUAAUUAUUGUUUCACUCUAAAUUGUCACGCUUCAUUCUUAUUCUAUAAGGAACUAAUUGAACACAUUAGCGUAAACAUAUUUUUAUCCAUUAGUCCCUAUAUAUUAAAAAGAGUUAACUAUGUUGUUUGGAAAAACAAUUAUUGAAAAAAGAUAGACUUGAAAGCAUAAGUUACACAUCAAAACUCUAAUCCCCUAAGGCGACCUGGGUCUUAUCUAGUUGGAUAUCUUUUUAAGUAUCAUUUUAACUGAGUGAAAUAUGAGUAUAAUUUUUUAUUGACGGACAAACAAGCCACAAGUGAAAUAUGAGUAUAAUUUUUUAUCUUGAAGUUGUUGGUUUCAACUUAUGGAUUUUGAAAACACAAAAAUUUCACAAGUAUUUUUAUAAAUAAAUUAAUUGAAAAAUAUUUUCAUAAAUAAAUUGAUUAAAUUUUUUGAAAUAAAUUAAAAUAAAGUGUUAUGCUUUAUUAAUUUUAAGAUAUCAUGUAACCUUGGGAGUCAUCAUUUCUUCAAAGAAUCAAGCACCAUCAUUUAAGUGUUAUUUUAAUCAUUCGAUCCAAUCAUUUUAGUUUUGUUAAUUUAUCAUUCAAUCGACUUAGUUUAAAAUUUUAAUAUGAUCUGAUUCGAUCCAAUUUAAAGCAAUUUGGAUUGAAUCGGCUUUCAAUUUUAUUUUCAGAGAAAAUAUUAAAUAAGAAAUAGAGAUUGAAUUGUGUUUUUAAAAAUUUUAAACUUUUUCUUAGACUGAAAAUGCAUUUACCAUUUGAUGUAGAUUUAACAAAAAAGGAUAAGGGAAGUUUAAGAAAAAUUUUAUCAUACAAUAAGAAAAACAAUUUUCUUGAUAAAUCAAAAACAAAUGUAAGAUCUAAAAUCAAAUUUGAAUCCUUUGUCAAUUAACACAAAGAUAAACAUUAAAGAAAAGCAUACAAAAGUUUAUAUUAAAUCAUCUUUAUUCCAAGAUUACGUCUGAUUCUUGACAACCCACCAAAUUUUCACUAAUUUAUCACAAAUUUACAAGUCCAAGUAAUCUUCACAACCACUUUUGGCUCUUACAAAUUCAAGCUCUGCAUCAAGUUUGACUUAACUCAAUAUUAUUUGUCCUACCAAGUCAUUGCUAACUCUAAACAAAUCAAUAAAAUUUGUUGGAAGUUUGUACACUGACUAAUAUUAGAUCGUCUUCCAAAUAGAUAUAUUUCUCAACACUUUAGUUUUUUCUCUCAAGGUUUACAAGGUGUUUUGAGAGCGUAGUAUUUAUACAAAGAUUUACAGAAAGCUUUAAAAAAAAUAAUUUGUAUAUUGUUUCUUCAAAAAAAUUUCUAUUUGUAGCCCUCAUCUUCAAGUAUAUGGUAUUCUUUGUCAACCCUCUUGACUCACUUAAAAAAGUAAUUUAAAAAAGCACAUGAACAAGUUUCCAGAUGCCACUACUCGUCAAACCUAUGCUUCUAGUUUGGUGAUAAAAGGAGAAAAACCAUAGAGAUGGAAUGGAUUACUGAGAACAAAAAAUAAGUUACAAGAAUCCAGCAGGUCUAAACAGAUUAAAUGACAGGCAGUGUCUAUAACUUGGAGAAACAAGAAAAUAAAGUCGUCAAAUUCAAAUUCAAAUGUCUUUCACCCUUAAUAAAUACAAGUCAACUGUACAAUUGGUAACAAGUACUGUUAUGAAACACGAUAGCAACAAACUUAUAGACAUAAUUUCUCCAAACUAUUAAACCAUAUUAGUUUUAUAGGCUUGUGACUAUAAGUAGACAGUAGCAAUGUUUGAAUAUACUGUCCUAACACUAGCUUUAGAGAUCCAACAAAAAGUUCUCAACAUCAGUCCCUGAAUUAUGUUUGCAAGAACUAUUUAUGAAAUCUUUGGAAAUCACACAAUCUAAAUCAUCUUAGCAUGUAAAAUAUUUAGAAAAAAUAUGUUUAUGAUGUUACCUUGUUGUAGCAGCAAUUCCAAAAGGUAUUGCAGAUGUAAGUAACAUUACUAACAUAUUGUGUUGUUUGGUAUUUAGUCACUUGGACAUGAUAGCUUUGAUAUUCAAGAGGAGCUUCCUUUGAAUCCACUGAAAUAUGUCUGUUGAAAGGGUUAAAACCUGCAAAGUAGCUCUCAUCGCAUCAGUAAGAAGUAACUGUGAUUAAAUAAACCAAAGAAUCAUGGCACUUCUGCAUCAUGAGAAUUAAUCAUUGUUAUCACUUAUCAGCAUUAGAUCUAACUACAGAUGAAUUAGUAUCUAUGUAAAAAGUUACAGAACAUUAUAUCUCAUUAAAUUAUACGCAUCAGCAUAUCAUUGAUUGAAAGGGCCCCCUGCGUAUAAUUGUAAAAUUAUUGGAACACCAGUUUAUGACUCACUAUUUUCUUUAAAACAAGUUGCAAAACCAGUUCAAUAACAAUUGGAACCAGGCAAACAAUUCUUGAACUUUUUCUGAGCAAUUCAAUGUUCAAAUAAACAAAGAUCGAGACAGGGGCUUCAAUGUGUAUCUGAACCAUAAUUAACAUAACAGAUUCCAAAGCCUUCUUUGUGAGAUUUUCAUACAAACCCAUCUCAGUCGUAGAAUGACUUAGCCUAAGUCUUAAUUAUGUUUUACCAAACAAAAUUGAACAUCUUGACAGAUUUUCAAUAGUUGAACAUCUUCUACAUGGUCUCUUUAACGUUUCAACUUGAGAUUACUUGGCAGUUGCACUCCAAAGCUUUAAUGUCAACUAGAACAAUAGAAAAUCUGAUGCAUAAAGCUUUAACGUUUCAACUUGAGCAAAAGGUAUAUUAUUAUUAAAAAUAGUCUCAAGACUCUAGAAAAGCAAGAUACAAAAAGAGGGGAAUCUGAUACAAAAGGUAUAUUAUUAAUAAAGCCUUAAUUCAAAAAGUAAUUUUCAUAGCUACCCUUGCUUGCAUGAAAAAUUAUCAAUAACAAUCUCUAACAAGAUUCACAAUGAGAAGUAUUUUUCAAUGACACCCAAGCAAGCAAGCAAACACACACAAACAUGGAUUGGAUUCCCUUUCAUCAAUUGGCUUUACGAAAUGAUCUCUUCAACAACGCCAGUGAGAGCUGCAGAGGGCGACAUGGUGGGUUUUGUCAGAUCUAGUUUCUGAAGAUAAAGAGAAUGAAAACCGAAAAGAAUCGAACCCGUGAUCAUGAUUUGGAUCUAGAUCUCGUGGUUUUGGGGAUCUAGAUGGUGUUCUUGAGAUAUAGCAGCUGAUUUAAUAAAAAAAAUGUUUCAUA